rnacentral:rRNA from 1 species
UACGUAGGUCCCGAGCGUUGUCCGGAUUUAUUGGGCGUAAAGCGAGCGCAGGUGGUUUAUUAAGUCUGGUGUAAAAGGCAGUGGCUCAACCAUUGUAUGCAUUGGAAACUGGUAGACUUGAGUGCAGGAGAGGAGAGUGGAAUUCCAUGUGUAGGGGUGAAAUGCGUAGAUAUAUGGAGGGACACCGGUGGCGAAAGCGGCUCUCUGGCCUGUAACUGACACUGAGGCUCGAAAGCGUGGGGAGCAAACAGG